GAUGAAGAACGCAGCGAAAUGCGAUAAGUAAUGCGAAUUGCAGAUUUCAGUGAGUCAUCGAAUCUUUGAACGCACAUUGCGCCCGCCAGUAUUCUGGCGGGCAUGCCUGUUCGAGCGUCAUUUCAACCAUCAAGCCCCCGGCUUGUGUUGGGGACCUGCGGCUGCCGCAGGCCCUGAAAAGCAGUGGCGGGCUCGCUGUCACACCGAGCGUAGUAGCAUACAUCUCGCUCUGGGCGUGCUGCGGGUUCCGGCCGUUAAACCACCUUCAUAACCCAAGGUUGACCUCGGAUCAGGUAGGAAGACCCGCUGAACUUAAGCAUAUCAAUAAGCGGAGGA
rnacentral:misc_RNA from 1 species